rnacentral:rRNA from 1 species
CCUACGGGAGGCUGCAGUGGGGAAUUUUGCGCAAUGGGGGAAACCCUGACGCAGCAACGCCGCGUGAGUGAUGAAGGCCUUCGGGUCGUAAAGCUCUGUCAGAGGGAAAGAAGUGCAGUGGUGCUAAUACCAUCAUUGCUUGACGGUACCCUCAAAGGAAGCACCGGCUAACUCCGUGCCAGCAGCCGCGGUAAUACGGAGGGUGCGAGCGUUGUUCGGAAUUAUUGGGCGUAAAGCGCGUGUAGGCGGUCUUUUAAGUCUGAUGUGAAAGCCCCGGGCUCAACCUGGGAAGUGCAUUGGAAACUGGGAGACUUGAAUACGGGAGAGGGUAGUGGAAUUCCUAGUGUAGGAGUGAAAUCCGUAGAUAUUAGGAGGAACACCGGUGGCGAAGGCGGCUACCUGGACCGAUAUUGACGCUGAGACGCGAAAGCGUGGGGAGCAAACAGGAUUAGAUACCCCGGUAGUC